rnacentral:tRNA from 1 species
GCCGUCGUGGCGGAAUUGGCAGACGCGACGGAUUCAAGAUCCGUUGGGGUUACACCCGUGUGGGUUCGACUCCCACCGGCGGCACAA